rnacentral:rRNA from 1 species
GGAUAAAAAAUCGGGCCUGCCCAAUGUGAAUGGCCGCAGUAUAUUGACUGUGCUAAGGUAGCAAAAUCAUUAGUCUUUUGAUUGAAGACUGGAAUGAAGGGUUUAACAAAGGAGGAGCUUUCUUUAAAUAUUGAAUUUUUUGUUUAAUGUGAGAAAACAUAAGGGAAGAGAAGACCCUAUCAAGUUUUACUGUUUUACUGGGGCGGUGUUGAUGAUAGUUAGAUUAAAUUACUGUAGGGAUAACAGCGUGAAAUACUUGGAGAGUUCUUAUUGGUGAGUAGUUUUGCGACCUCGAUGUUGAAUUAAACCUUAUUGGUGUAAGACUUUUAAAUCUUUACA